rnacentral:lncRNA from 1 species
UUGGCUACUAUUUAUAUAUAGUAUAGUAGGGACCAAGUGGACGAGUUGGUAUAGAUACCCGGGCAUGCAUGUGUGGUAGUAGGGUAGCGCCUGCUGGAGCAGGUAGAGAGUGGGAUGGCACUAGCGAGAUGCUGGUGAUGAUUAUUGGGCGAGAAAUGAGACUCUUGGUAAAGACGAAACGUGAAGCGACUCUCAGGACAACGGGUAGUUGAUCGCAAGGGUUUCACCGUGACGUUGGGGAUACCUGAGUAGUCUGAGCGAUUCGAAUGUAGUUCUGGCAGAACGAACAGUGGGAGUAGGAUCACUGUUGAAAGAGAGUAGCCGGUUAGUGGCCAAGCACGG